GAAAUGUCUUUCUGCUAAAUGAUUUUACAAAAAAAUGGCUCCAAAACUUCUCAUCUCAUAAUCAGAACUCAGAUAUAAGCCACAAAAAUAGAAGAUAAGCCGAUAAAAGCUUACAACAUGAGCUGAAAGCCCUUCAAGAAAGUUGAUUAUUAGCUAAAUGUUGGUUACAGUGAAACACAACUUCUCAAUGUAGGGGAAAGCAUUUGUAAUUUACAAAGCAGGUUUUAGCCUUCCUCCAUUGAUUCAUUACAGGGUUGCAGUUAGCUUAUGUCUUUCAGCUUUCCAUGGAAAUGAAAUACCGAUAAGUGCAGCAGGAAGCAGUAAUUGACAGGCGCAACUGUUUCUCAAGACUUUUAGCUAUAGCUUGUUGAAUUGAGUUGAUGAUGUGCUCCAUCAAAGGUGCUUCACAUGGUAAUGUGAUAGGUCCGUUGCUUGGCAACCCAUACUCUUCUGCAGAUAAUGCUAAGAGCUCUUUGAAGACCUCAUUGUUAAGAUAAACUAAUGGAACUACAAAGCGCCUUUGAUCAGAAGUGUAGAGAACAAUAUGACCCUUUGCAGCAGGCACUGAAUAUGCACUAGAGCAGCAGUUGAUCGCUCCUACUUUCUUUGAUUUCCUGGAAAAACAAAUCAUUCUGGCAUUUCAAAGAGACUAGAAAAGAAAUCAAUACCUUAUUAUAUGGAAGCAAGUUCUUUAUAAUAUAUUCUAUUGCAGCCGAAUGAGAUCAGCACAUUAUCCUCAAUUCUGUCCGAUUAUCAGUUGGAAGCUUAUGAAAUACAGCAAGAAACAAGAAACAAGUGAAAAAGGGUAUAAUUACUAUAGGAGAGGAUCUAAGAGUACGGUUAUGCACUAGCUAUAGCCAGCUUGAAUACAAAAGGGAAAAUGGUCAAGUUGAUUUAUACCAUCAAGAACAGAUACAAACAAGUUGCGAACAUACAAUAAUAGAAGUAAAAUUCUGUCUUGAAUAAGAUAAACCUUAUCUAAUGAUUUCUAAUGCGUAGAGAAAGAGCGGCGAAGCACACAUCUAUAUCCAAACGAGACAAAGUGAACCCCAAACCCCUCCUUGGAUAUUUCACAUGCUGUCAAAUGCUCUUAGUGAACGAUGAGCCAUAUUUGUCUUGAUCAUAGAAUAUUAGGGCCUUAUCCAG
rnacentral:misc_RNA from 1 species